AAGGGGAAGGAAUGUGUGUCUGAGUGGAGGAGGUGCUGUCUGUCAAGCAGAAAGGGGAAGGAAAGACUCAGUCAUUCACUGGGGAGGGGGAGGAAGCUACUAGCAACGACAGAAAACGCAACUGUCUGAGAAACCUCCUGGAGGCCAGGGGGGAUGGGCCUAUUCCCUGAACCUACACUUAUGUCCCAACCCGGCUCUGGAGGGACCUUCCAGUGCAGAGCCUGAGAGGAAAGAGGAGGCGUGAACUAUACAACCAACAGAGCAGUGACCUCACCAGCAGACAUUCUGUCGGGGCCCUGCCACAUGUGCAGAAGACAGCAAUCUGGCCAGAGGCUCCCUGAGUCCCUUCCCUUCUGCAAUGAGCUGCGGGCGCCUCUGCUGUGUGGUCCUUUGUCUCCUCCGCUCAGUCCCCGUGGACACUGCGAUUACCCAGACACCAAGACACCUGGUCACAGCGACAGGGAGCAACUGGACCCUCAAGUGCGAACAACGUCUAGGACAUAAUGCUAUGUACUGGUAUAAACAGAGCGCUCAGAACCCACCGACACUCAUGUUUGCCUACAGCUAUGAUAAACUCGUUGAAAAUGACAGCGUCCCCAGUCGCUUUGCACCUAAAUUCCUAGACAGCUCGCACCUGCACCUUCAGGUGGCCGCCCUGCAGCCAGAUGACUCCGCCGUGUAUCUCUGUGCUAGCAGCCAGGACACAGCCCUGCACAGCCAACUGCUCCCUGUGCACAAACCUCCUGGUGCAGCCAGGGAGCUGUGGGGGCGACCGCGACUCAGCUCAGCAUCUCUGGUGGGACCCCAGACGGAAAUCUCAGACCAUAACGCUGCCUGUCAGUUGGCUGGGUGCAGCGAUGCCCAGUUCCCUGCACUGACAUCCACAGCCUGUGGCCCGGCUCUGCCCUGGCCAGUCUGUGUCUGCAGCUGAGUGCAGGACAGGAAAGGUCCACGUGAAGUUCCUCAGGUAGCUUCCGAUCGGCACGUGGCCCCGGGGAAUCUUUCAUGAGACACAUUACUCUCUGGCCACAGGGAUAGAGAAUGACUUCCUUCCUGACAUGAAUUCUCACCAACUUUGCAGAUCAAAAGAUCCCGUUUUACAACUAAGGAAAUGAAAUCGUGGGCCUGUAGUUGUGGGGUCCAUUCCUGUUUUCAUGGACUCCAUCUUUCAGAAGCAUCUUACCUUGUAAAAAUGAAGAAAGGACCUAGUAAAGGUUUGGCUAAGGAGCUACCUCGGAUAUAACACUUUCAAGCUGGGGUGAUAUUUUCUAGGCGGUGGUAUGAUUUGAACAAAGGACUGAGAUAUGGAACUGUGUACUCAAUCCAUGAAUCCAGAAGCCAAAGGGUGGGGUGAGGAUAGGUAUCCCUCUCAUUAUACUCCCAGUGACCUAGUUGCAAAUUCAUGCUUCUUUCCCCUGUAUUUUUAGGGUCUUCUAGAUAAAAAAGUUCUGAUUCUUUGAGAGGGGAGGAAAGAUGAGUGGGUGCUUCCACCACAGGACAUAUGAACAUGAACUAUGACUCUACCUGGUCAUUUGUGGCUCCUUUUGAUGGGAACCUAAUAGGUAAGGACGGAGGUAUUGAUCUUGACUAUCAUGAGGUAAGACAGUUGCUCCUACAUAAUGGAAACAGGCAAAGGCUUACCUGGAGCUCAGGGAACUCAUUCAAACAUCUCUUUGUCCCUAAAUCCCUGGUGAUGAGUUUUGCGAUUGCAACCAUCUUCACUUAAGGGGCUCAAAACCCUCAGAGAUGAAUGUCUGGGUCACCCCACCAAACAAACAACUUAAACCACUGAUGUGCUAAGCAAAGUUGGAGAAAAUUUAGAAUUGGUGAUAAAGGAGAUCAUAAAUCUCAGUAAUGGCUUUGGGUACAGUAACAGCAAUAGUCCUAUAGCCCUAACCCUGUAUUGAUACAAAUUACAGCUGGUCCCCACCUUGAAGACCUUAUUAUUUGGGCUUGAAGCAAUGCAAGGAGUAGACUGUUUGAAAUGCCUCUAUUGUAUCACUGCCUGUCCUUCUGCUCCACCCCGACUCCAGCCACAACUAUCUCAUGCAGCGCUUCCAAGCAGACAUUGACCCCUUCCAUAUUGAUUGAACCUCCUCUUAAAUAUGGGCAAUGUAUCUAACUUUCUUCCUAAAGUGCUCUGUGGCUGUGGUUGAGACACAUGAAUGGCCUACUUGAAGAAACUUUUUUUUUUAAUGUUUUAUUUAUUUUUGAGACAGAGCAUGAGCAGGCAGGAGCAGAGAGAG